GCGACUCAUCCAUAGCAAACCCGCCUCGUGUUUCAGCUGUGUAACUACGGAGAGUUCUUUGAUCGAAUAUUUGAUCCUGGAUUCCACCUUUUGUCCGUUUUUGCUUUCGGCGGAAAACUCAUUAGGGCAUGACUAGGUCAGGUGACUGUGUGAUUACUAAGCUCAUUGAUGGGGGCAAUCCCAAAUGGUUCCCAACUACCUUGAAACGAUGAGAAGUUCAAAUACUAGUAUGAAGCAAGAAAGCGGACUGACAGCUCGAAGGGUGUUUGCUCCUGGGGGCUUUCCCGAUGAACGGCAUGAUCUGCCAAACCAAUGCCACAAUGGAUUGCUUAUUGACGACCCGGAACCGUCUUGAAAAAUUGCACCAGUCUGUCAUUCAGCCACAUCAUGUCCUCUUUGUUCCCCGGGGGCGCUCCGGCCCAGUCUGAGAAGAGCGGGAUAUGUGAUCAGCAUGUGUCGCAUCUGAUAUCUUGUAUCUCGGGUGAUGCUGUUGAACUUACGACCCCAUAUGGAUGGGAAGACAUCCAGCCUGCCUAUUCCGGGUUGCAAGUUUGCAACCUCGUACUCCGAGUCCUCAGGCCUGAUCGAUGUGGUCAGUAACUGCUGGCCUUGCAAAAAGAUGGCGUGUUGAUUGAGUGCUGGGCCUGGGUCACUCACGGGAAGUAUAGGUCAGUUUUGCUGGGUAGAACCAGUGCCUUUGCUUUGAUUGCCCUUAGAGCGGCUUCAAAGUUGCCGUUGUACGGUUCCUGCUUGGAGAUAUCGCCAUUUUGCCAGGUCUGCAACAUGACGAGCAGGUUCUCCGGUUCUACAGAACAGGUCAGCUCAUCCCUCCUCAACCGGUUUGUCAGGUGAAAUUCCACUUCUCUAGGGAUUAGGAGCUACCUUUUGUCAGGAAGAACGCUUCCCAGAAAUUCACCAUGAAAUCCUCUAGAUCUUUGUAUCCGAGGACGGUUUCAUGCAGCCUCUGCCGGUAAAACGUCUGGCUCAUUCCCCUUUGCAGUGAUAGUGAGAAAAGUGCGACUUCUCUCUCGUCCCGAGUCCACAACCGGUAUAAAUCGCUGCCCACUGCGGCUCCAACCUCUCCUACACCGGCAGAUCGAAAACCCUUGGCCGCCAACAAGGCGCUCUUGACGCCUUCAAGGAAAGCCUGGUUGUGCAGUGAUGUUUUUGCGGAACCGCAGAACGGAACGAUCAAAUCCAUAAAUUCUGGAUACUGGGUUGCCCACUGGAAUGUCUGGGCGGCUCCCAUAGACCACCCCAGGACGGCGCGUAGAUGGGUGAUGUUAAAAUGCUUCGUAACGAGUUCAUGCUGGGCCCUCACAUUAUCGUAGAAUGUGACCCGAGGAAACUCUUUGAUGGUAGGGGAAUUGGAAGGAGAUGUGGACUGGCCGUUCCCAAACAAUGCGGGGACGAUGAUGAAAUAUUUCUUCGGGCUGAGUUCCUUGUCAUCUCCCACCAGCCAGAGAUUAUCAGAGAUAACUAAGCCGGAGACGAAAAUAAUAUGAAUAGUACUGUUAGCACACACGGAUUUCUUUUGAUUCUAUUGCCGUGUAGAUCUAUGGUAUUUCUGUUGGGAUUUUCUUCUUCUUCUUCUUCUUCUUCUUCUUCUUCUAUGACAGAGACUUACGGCCAGAAAACCACGUCGGGUAGACAAUUGCGGGGAGCGCUGGAUCACCCAGAGCCUUGAAAGCGAUACGCGCAUCGGGGAUAACCUCGCCGCUCUGGAGCUUCCAGUCGCCGAGGAGAAAGGUUUCGAAAUCGCCCUGUGAAGAAGCCAUAUUGCCUUCUACUGAAGUGCCGCACAGUGCUAUAUGUAUGUAAUUGAUAUGUGUUGACAAAUGGGGAUGUGGAGAAUACCCAGCUAUUUUGGGGUCAAAAGCUUGAAUGAUGCG
rnacentral:sRNA from 1 species